GAUGAACGCUAGCGGCAGGCCUAAUACAUGCAAGUCGGACGGGAUCCAUUGAUAGCUUGCUCUCAAUGGUGAGAGUGGCGCACGGGUGCGUAACGCGUGAGCAACCUGCCUCCAUCAGGGGGAUAGCCUCUCGAAAGAGAGAUUAACACCGCAUAAUAUCAACAGUUCGCAUGUUCAGUUGAUUAAAUAUUUAUAGGAUGGAGAUGGGCUCGCGUGACAUUAGCUAGUUGGUAGGGUAACGGCUUACCAAGGCGACGAUGUCUAGGGGCUCUGAGAGGAGAAUCCCCCACACUGGUACUGAGACACGGACCAGACUCCUACGGGAGGCAGCAGUAAGGAAUAUUGGUCAAUGGGCGGAAGCCUGAACCAGCCAUGCCGCGUGCAGGAUGACUGCCCUAUGGGUGGUAAACUGCUUUUGUCCAGGAAUAAACCUAAAUACGAGUAUUUAGCUGAAUGUACUGGAAGAAUAAGGAUCGGCUAACUCCGUG
rnacentral:rRNA from 1 species